AUAGCUUUCUAAGGUUAAUAACAGCUUUCUCCGUUCCGCCUUGUAACAAAGUGUUGUCUCUUUAAAACAUAUGACUUAAGAGGCAAAACAGGAGUCCUGGGUAUAAAAAGUAGCUCUAGUUAGAAAUAGUCAACCCCCACCCUUUUUCCAAGAUAGGGCACACUAUUUAUUUAGCUCUGGCAGGCUGGCCUUGAACUUACUGAGUUCAGGCUAGCCAGAGAUACAUAGACCCCUGUUUCAGACAGACAAACACCAAACACUCUCCACCUAGACUGGUGUGGCUCACUGUUGAGUAACAAAGCUGUUACUAGAAGCCAGGCCUUCUGACCUUUAACUGAGACUUGGUUUGCACACAGUGCGAUGCAGAUCACAGGGAGGACAGAA
rnacentral:lncRNA from 1 species